AUGGGCGAACGGAAAGAAGCAGCGGUGCCGGGCGUGGCCUAUGAGGGAGGAGGCAGCGGCGACAGUGGAUCAAGCUCAUGCAAACGCGCAGCUGCUGUUUGCAAAAUCAGCAAACGCAGCCAGCAGGGAAUCUUUAAAAAGAUGAAGCCAAUUGCUACUUAUUUUGCAACUCCACCAUCUAAUGAAUCUCAAGCUCAUGUUCAUGUUCAUGUUCCUGAACCUGAUGCAAACAUUUUAUAUAAUGAGGGCUCUCAUGAUAACACUUUGCAAACUUCUAUUCUAGGAUUUAGUCCAACUCACAUUGAACCUGAUCCUGGACUCCGGAAACAAAUUGGAGAUUAUCCUACUCCAGAAAUCAGAGAUGCGGUGAGGAGGGAGUAUUUGAAGAAAGGUCCAUGUCAGCCGUAUGGGCAUGAUUUUCCUCGCAACACUACAGAUAAAAGGGUAUUAAGAGAGGAGUGGUUUGACUAG
rnacentral:rRNA from 1 species